GACGAACGCUGGCGGCGGGCUUAACACAUGCAAGUCGAACGGAAAGGCCCUGCUUGUGUGGGGUGCUCGAGUGGCGAACGGGUGAGUAACACGUGAGUAACCUGCCCUUGACUUUGGGAUAACUUCAGGAAACUGGGGCUAAUACCGGAUAGGAGCUCCUGCUGCAUGGUGGGGGUUGGAAAGUUUCGGCGGUUGGGGAUGGACUCGCGGCUUAUCAGCUUGUUGGUGGGGUAGUGGCUUACCAAGGCUUUGACGGGUAGCCGGCCUGAGAGGGUUACCGGCCACAUUGGGACUGAGAUACGGCCCAGACUCCUACGGGAGGCAGCAGUGGGGAGUAUUGCCCAAUGGGCGGAAGCCUGAUGCAGAAACGCCGCGUGCGGGAUGACGGCCUUCGGGUUGUAAACCGCUUUCGCCUGUGACGAAGCGUGAGUGACGGUAAUGGGUAAAGAAGCACCGGCUAACUACGUG
rnacentral:rRNA from 1 species